UAAUUCACUAAUAUAUAAAUAAUUAUACUUACAUAAUAGGAAGAAAAAAAAUUAAAUUUCAAUGUUUAUAUUGGCUAAAAAAUAAUUAUUAAAGGAAUUAUAGUCUAUUUAGUUGUUUUGAUAAUUAAAAUGAAUUUUAUAAUUAAUUUAUUUUGAGGAAAGUUGAAAAGUUGGUAGUAAUAAUAAAUUAAUAUUAUAGAAUAGUGGAAAAGUAAAAGCUGAACGAGUGGUGGUAAAAAGAGGCGGUGGCGUGUGACUAGGUUUUAUCAAAUGAAGUUUCAUUGUAUUAAAAUAUUAAUAAAAAGAAAGGAUCAGCUUCCUCUCUCUUCCUCUCUCUUUACACAGAAAUUUCGUCGCUCCACCGUCGCUCCACCGUCGCCUCAGCCGCCCCAACCGCCCCGGCUCGCCCCAGCCCGCCCCAGUCGCGCCCCAGCCCGCCCCAUGAAUAUCGUUCGGCCCAGGGUGGCUGGGGCGACUACAGCCGCGCCCUGACCGCCCCACGCCCCAAGCGCGCCCCAAGCGCGAUUUUCACAACACUGAAUGUAGUUACGAUUCACUAUCCCUAUCAUUGCCGAAAAAUGGGUUUUGGCCUACAUCGGAGUUAAAUGGAGAAGUUGGAAGCAUUAUUUGAAAAAAACAAGUUAUUGGGCUGAUGUACCUAUCGAGCACUUAAUACAUGACAAGGAUGAUAGAGUUUUGGAAGAUCAAUGGAUCAAAUGUCUUGCUUACUGGAGAAGGGAAGAUGCAAAGAAUAUAAGUAAGAGAAACCAAAAAGCUCGAUCAAAUAAGUUAAUGAAUCAAAGAACAUGACAGACGUUAUUGUGCAAGUUAAAGACACAUUGGUAAUGUUUUAUUUUUUCUAUGUGUAAUGUUAAUUGCUAUAAAUUUUGAUGAUUCUGAUUAUUUGCCUUAUGUUUCAGUGAGUGCAUAAAGUAAUUUUGGUCUAACAAUUGAAGAGAUUUGCAGGUUGGCAGAUAUCCUCGGCAUCUAAUAAGUUUGUUUUUCCGCUUGCUGUAUCCGUGGUAUUGGCCCUCGUCUUGUUAAAACUCUGUAGUUUCUAUAAGUUGUAUGUGUUUUGGUUGUAUAUAUCCGUGUGGAACAGUGGAAGUGUGGCUUUCAUGUAAAUCUAAUCUUUCAUCUCUCUGUUGAGAAGAGUUGUAGUCUGGAUGUUUUUAUGUAA